rnacentral:rRNA from 1 species
UACGGAAGGGGCUAGCGUUGUUCGGAAUUACUGGGCGUAAAGAGCGCGUAGGCGGCUUACCAAGUUGGGGGUGAAAUCCCGGAGCUCAACUCCGGAACUGCCUUCAAAACUGGUAGGCUCGAGUCCGGAAGAGGGGCGUGGAAUUCCCAGUGUAGAGGUGAAAUUCGUAGAGAUUGGGAAGAACACCGGUGGCGAAGGCGGCGCCCUGGUCCGGUACUGACGGUGAGGCGCGAAAGGGUGGGGAGCAAACAGG